UUAGCCCAACCCUAAAAGAACCUUCGGCCAUUCCUUCUUCUUCAUGGAACAAAAACCCUACACAUGAGAGAAGAGGGGAGACCUAAAAAAACACCAUAGCCAGACCCAACUUCUCUUCAACCGAGAGGAGUCAUUUCUGAUAAAAAAAAACCCAGUGUUCUUCUGCCUCUCGACAACACCACUCGAGCCUUACCAUAAAAACAAAAAUCAGCAGCAGCCAUCACCUUGAAUGGAGACCUAGACCUAGACUCUAAGCAAAAGCGGCAGAUUUCAUAAGGAGGAGGAGACCAUUGUCUCCAAUUCAAGAGAACAAAAUAAUUCCAAAAAGCUUGAAAACGGCAGUCACGACCCCUCCAUACACCCAUCACAUCCAGUCAUAGAGCCUAAUUAAAAAAAAUGUGAAAAAUUGGAAAGAUAUCACCAUCCAGAUUGUAGCCAAAUUUUCCACCUUAUCGUCUACUUCUUUGGAGUCGACAGUUAGUGAUUCGUUCACUUCUCCUUACCUUGCUAUCCACAUUUGUUGUCAAGAGGAUGUAGUUGUUUCCUCAUGAGAAUCUGCUGCGCCCAUCGACUGCUACAUUCUCUGUUAUUGUAGCAACUUUGAAUGUCCGGCUCUAUUUGUAGUUCGAAUGUCCGGUCGUUGGUUUUUGCUCAGUUCUGGAUCUGUUUGAGAACAUUGAUUGUUCAACUUUUGGAAUGGCAACAUUGAAGACAACGAUUUAAUCACCUUGAGGUAUGGAUUCAUUUACCAGAGCUCGAGCACAACAGAUACCCCGAGACCAUCACAUUUGGGAGCUGUUUGAGAAGACUUUUUAUUUUUGAGUCUGUUUUAUAUUAUUUUUUGCUUUCUAGUCUUGUAUGGUUGUAUUCAGUCUUUUAGUUGGUGUAACAGUUUGUCGUAGUAUAGUUGAGGUUGUCAAGUCUCGCGUCAUCAUAUUUCUUGUUUUGUAUUUGAAAAACCAAAAAAUUAUAAAUUAAAAAUCCAAAAGAUUUUUGAUUUAGUUUA